UCCUUCUUUUAAGGGGGCUUUGAGUGAAAGAUCCUACACCCGGAUCUAGUGUACCUUAGGUAAGUAGCAAUAGAUCAUCGCGACUAUCCGGCGUAUACUGGAAUGGUUAAAAUGAUAGCUACGGUUAAUGUGACACUUUGGUUGUCCUGAUGUUCCUCAUGUUACUUGAGGAAAAAUUUGGCUUCUGCGUGGUGUCAUCAAAGCAUUAACCAGACCUUUAGAACCCUAAUUGACUCAUCCUAGCCAUUAGAAAGUAGUGAGAUAACUG
rnacentral:lncRNA from 1 species